CCUACGGGAGGCAGCAGUGGGGAAUCUUGCGCAAUGGGCGAAAGCCUGACGCAGCAACGCCGCGUGCGGGAAGAAGGCUUUCGGGCUGUAAACCGCUUUCAGCAGGAACGAAAAUGACGGUACCUGCAGAAGAAGGAGCGGCCAACUAUGUGCCAGCAGCCGCGGUGAUACAUAGGCUUCAAGCGUUGUCCGGAUUUAUUGGGCGUAAAGAGUUCGUAGGCGGUCAAGUAAGUCGGGUGUGAAAAUUCUGGGCUCAACCCAGAGACGCCACCCGAUACUGCUUAACUUGAGUUCGAUAGGGGAGUGGGGAAUUCCUAGUGUAGCGGUGAAAUGCGCAGAUAUUAGGAGGAACACCGGUGGCGAAGGCGCCACUCUGGAUCGAUACUGACGCUGAGGAACGAAAGCAUGGGUAGCAAACAGGAUUAGAUACCCUGGUAGUCCAUGCCGUAAACGGUGGGCACUAGGUGUGGGUUUCUAUUAACGAAAUCCGCGCCGUCGCUAACGCAUUAAGUGCCCCGCCUGGGGAGUACGUCGCAGACAACUACAAGAAGUAGACGCGNGAGAGUGCCGACGACGACGACGAGGAGUAGG
rnacentral:rRNA from 1 species